rnacentral:rRNA from 1 species
UACGGGGGGGGCAAGCGGUUGUUCGGAAUUAUUGGGCGUAAAGCGCGUGGUAGGCGGCUUUGCAAGUUCGGGGUGUGAAAGCCCUCGAGCUCAACUGAGGAAGUGCGCCGAAACUCGCAGAGCUUGAGUGCCGGAGAGGGUGGCGGAAUUCCCCAAGUAGAGGUGAAAUUCGUAGAUAUGGGGAGGAACACCGGUGGCGAAGGCGGCCACCUGGACGGUAACUGACGCUGAGACGCGAAAGCGUGGGGAGCAAACAGG